UUGUCUUUGGCAACAUGUAUACUUCAAUUGGAAUGAUACAGAGAAGAUUAGCAUGGCCGCUAGGCAAGAAUGAUGCACAAAUUCAUAUCUUUAUUUCAGUUUUCU